rnacentral:lncRNA from 1 species
AGGAACCCUGGUCCCUGGGAUAUUGGGAAAGGCCACCUGCAGGCUUCAGGACCUCACCUCUCCUCCUGCAGUCUGCUCAUCGGUGAAAUGGAUGGAACAGCAGCCCCUACCCGAGGUGUGGCGGUGAAGCAAGCAGUCCGGCUGUUCAACCCCCAGCACUGGUAUCAUUCUCUGCCCCCUGGAGCUCCUGGGAAGAUCCGUUAAGCAAGUGGUGGGGCUUCCACGGUUAAACACGGGUGACCACACAGCCCAGAAACUCCCUUCCAGGGACUACCUGAGAGAUUGAAGGCAGGCCCCACAGAGACGCGCCCAGCUCCUGCUCCUCAAACUGCUCCGUUAAACACGGGGUGACCACACAGCCCCGAGAGAAUGAAGGCAGGCCCCACAGAGACACGCCUA